rnacentral:tRNA from 1 species
AGCCGCAUAGCUCAACUGGUCAGAGCACCUGCCUUAUAAGCGGGAGGUUGCCGGUUCAAGUCCGGCUGCGGCGACCA